rnacentral:rRNA from 1 species
UACGUAGGUGGCAAGCGUUGUCCGGAAUUAUUGGGCGUAAAGCGCGCGCAGGCGGUCCUUUAAGUCUGAUGUGAAAGCCCUCGGCUCAACCGAGGAGGGUCAUUGGAAACUGGAGGACUUGAGUGCAGAAGAGGAAAGUGGAAUUCCAAGUGUAGCGGUGAAAUGCGUAGAGAUUUGGAGGAACACCAGUGGCGAAGGCGACUCUUUGGUCUGUAACUGACGCUGAGGCGCGAAAGCGUGGGGAGCAAACAGG